AAGGAAUAUUGGUCAAUGGACGCAAGUCUGAUCCAGCCAUGCCGCGUGAGUGAAGAAGGCCCUCGGGUUGUAAAGCUCUUUUGUCCGGAAAGAAAAGCUUCGGGUUAAUACCCCGGGGUUCUGACGGUACCGGAAGAAUAAGCACCGGCUAACUUCGUGCCAGCAGCCGCGGUAAUACGAAGGGUGCAAGCGUUACUCGGAAUUACUGGGCGUAAAGCGUGCGUAGGUGGUUGUUUAAGUCUGAUGUGAAAGCCCUGGGCUCAACCUGGGAAUGGCAUUGGAAACUGGGCAGCUAGAGUGCGGUAGAGGGUAGUGGAAUUCCCGGUGUAGCAGUGAAAUGCGUAGAGAUCGGGAGGAACAUCUGUGGCGAAGGCGACUGCCUGGACCAGCACUGACACUGAGGCAUGAAAGCGUGGGGAGCAAACA
rnacentral:rRNA from 1 species